CCUUCUUUUCACUACAUCUGUAUCUUUAAGGUAAAUAUCCAGUAUAACUUUCCCUUUCUGAGCAAAAGUAAGUACUAACUUUAAAAAAAAAUUCUUUUUAACACUUAGAGAUGUAAACAAAAAAAACAUACAAUGACCUUGAGCUCAUAUCAAAACCAACUCUGAGCUUUGUUGUUCAAUUUCUAUUCUUGAUAUAUGAACCUAUCCCCACGUAUUGGAAGGCCAAGCAGAGAAUACCCUAUCCCCAAAUAAAUAAGGUCAGAGCUGAUUUUAUUGACAGCCCUAUCUUUUUGCCCAGACUGCACAGACGCAGUUCAAUACAUCAGCACGGGACACGGGCACCGUCAGACAUGCUCUUUACGUUGGUUGUUGGUGGGUUUCCAUCCUCGCUGCUUUUUCACGUGAAUGAACAGCACGCUAGGGCAAGUUUUAAGAAUCUUUAAGGAUCUUCAGAGAUUCCUGUCUUGCCGAGACACAGGAAGGCCGUAAUUAGGAAACAGACCAAGAAUGAAGAGGUGGAAAUGAGGGCGGGUGUCUUUGUUGCUAUAAACUACUAGCUUUCACCAUUCUCCGCCUUGGCAUGUGUUGCCGCUGCUACCUGGAACACGCCUUCUCCCCCUCGUCUGCCUGGCAGACUCCUACUCACCCCAGAUGCAGCCCAGCUGGCAGCUUCUGCACGAAGGCACCUCCUCUCCCUGGACACAGCCCUCCAUGGCCGUGACCCCCAAGCCUGCCCCCGUGUCUCCGUACAGCCUCCUCCCUCACCGGACUGUGGCUUCUUAUGGGCUGGUGGCCCGGUGCCACCAGCCAAGCAGCACAUCAUGUUCAGAGGCUCAGGAAUGUUUGGGGUUACAGUCAACAACCCCAACACAAGUGUUUGUUAUGACCCUCAGCAGUAGUGUGUUGGGGUGGCUUAUACGCUUCCUUGACCAAAUCAAAACAAAACAUACUCUAAAAACGAACCAGAACAUAUCAACUUCUCCAGCAUUUAUCUGAGACAGCUGGGCUGCCGCUCAUUUCAACUCUUUACCUGGAACGUCCCCCUCGGUCUUCUCUGCAGGCUCCCCUAGCCUCAUGGUCUGGUUCAGGACCCUUGUCCUGUCCCAAAGCCCUCUGGUGCCUCAAAUGGGCAUCACGCAACUGAACAGUUAUGUAGGACGUAACGCUGGCAGUCGCUUCACCUGCACGUGUCUAUCCUCUUGACUGAGACAGAAGCUCCCGCUCCUACUUCUUCUCUGACCCCUGAGGAUGGGUAAAUAGUCGUGUAUACAACAGGCCCUUGCUGGAGUUGCUGUUGACUGCCUCGCACGAGGGCAGUGUGUGGGGAUUUGCAGAGCACUGACGCUCUUCACACCUCCAUGUGGCAGGAACGUAGUGGGAACUGAUUCUUGGGACGGUAUGGGGCUGGGGAACACUGGCUGAAGGACGUGGUUUUUCCCCAAGCUUAAAGAAGACACACUGUCACAGUUCAGGCCAGAUUUGUCUCACAAAUACAUUUUGAUUGACCUGCACAGAGUUUUUAGAAACAACUGAAAUAGUUCGCAACAUUUAAUGAUCCAGAAACUACUUAAGAAUACAGAGUUCUAUAGUUCAUCUUGAAAAUUUGGAAGAUUCGGUAAAAUUGGGCCUCGAUUCCUAAUUAGCAGUAAUUUGCUUUGAACUAACUGGUGACUGUGCCGUUCAGACAGAAGAUGAGCUUCCCUUUCCUUGUCCCCUAUAAAAUCGCACCCCCACACUCUCCUUUCAUUUGUGUUACCUUCUUGCUUCUUAGGUAAAUUAUUCCAGAAAAUGCCUAUUUCCUGUGCUAUCAUACUUCUAUAAUGCAUAGAGCCCCGGUACUCGCGGGGCUGCCAAAGAAACCUCAUAUCCGAGCAGUGUGUAUGUGGACUUCUUUCUCAGUGUACACACUUGAAAAGAUACAGGACCUCUGUGCAUCCACUCAGAAUGGCACGUUUUUUUCAUCAGUUGGCUUAUAUAACAAUGACCAUAACCCUUCCCUGUUUACUGAGCACUUAGUAUAUACUAGUGAUUGUUUUGAGCAUGUAUUAACUCAUUAAGCCCACAGCAACCCUGCCUAUGAGAUCAGGGCUGUUAUUAUCCCCAUCUCACAGAUCUUCUUGCCAACCUCCUGUUUUUCAGAUGAGAAGCUGAAAGCUCAAGGACCAGGGUCACACAGCAAGGAGGUGGCCUCCAUCGCCAGGCUUUCAACUUAGGCAUGGGCGAAGGGAGUCACACACCGUUAAGACUUAUUUCCAGGACAGUAAUAGCGUCUUCUUUACAUGGCUGUGUUUUAAAAUGAUGUGGGAGGAACGGCAUUGACUUCAGGGCCCUGAAAAUGCUAUUUCUAGGCCGAUGUCCUCCGCCAUCCAAAACAGAUAUGUGAGAUGGGAGAGAUGUUUCUUUGGCCUCUCAGAGUCUUCUCUAGAUGGUGCUGUUGGCGAUUCCCAGGUAUCCUGUGUUUUCAUGCUUUUUCCUUUAUUCUGUCAAAACUGCUGCCUAUCCUUUAUUUUUACCGUUACAAUGUUUACUAAAUAUGAGAGCUAUUUCCCUUUAAAGGAAAACAGUCUUGUGAAUGUAGGUGUGCUGUUCCAUUUUUAUUAUAAUGUUACUUAACUAUGUGCAACCAUAAAGCCAUGUAUAAACUGAUUAUAUACUUGCUUAUAGCCUAGAUGCAUUUAGAAAGCAAAAAUUUGAAAAUGAAGUUUUAACUGAACAGACUUAAAAAUUAAAGGCAAGAAAAACUUCAGAAUUUCAAAGUAACAGCAUGAACCUGACAUGACAGAUGAUGUUAUUUUUACUGAAAUGACAUCCUGACUCAAAACCGCCGUGGCCUUUGACGCCUUCAUUUUCCCACAGUUCUCUCUGUUACGAUGACGACGAACCCUUCCAUUUCACAGUGUGCUGAGACAUUAUUCAUCCUUUGUUUGGUAUGAAAGCACCGUUUAGACAUCAGUUCCACCUCUGGCAGCCGACAGUAAUUAACGUGGCACUACAUGGUGUCGACUUAAUUAUAAACACAAACAGGAACACGGAAGCCCCUGGCAUUGCUCAGUUCUACGAUGGUUAUAUAACUUAGUGCCUUCUACAUUUUAAUGUGCAGAUGAAUCACCUGAGGAUCUUGGUAAAACACGGACUGGGGUGGGGCCCAAGAUUUGGCAUUUCCAACAAAUUUCGGGUUGAUGCUCACGCUGUUGGCCCAGGGACCACUGAAACAUUCCCCCAACUUAAGUGUCUGAAGCUCAGCCUCUGAAAUUUGAACACAUACCACAUUUUUGUUCUUGGUUCUGAAGUGCACUUUGGUUUUUGUUUUGGUCUGAGGGUAAGUGUUGAGAAGAUAAGAAAUAGCUUAUAGAUAUUUAGUUGGUAAUUUGUGCAACCAAGUUUAAUCUUUUCUAAAUAGUCCCACAGCAGUCUUCUGGAGGGAAUUCUCAAAGAAGAUCCAGUAGAACCAAUUUGUCUUUAAUAAGAAAGUUCCAGAUUGUAGAGAGAUACUGAGGUGAUAGCCUUGUGCAUAAAAUAUCUUUCCUAGGGGGAAAAAAACAAAAUAGUGCCCAACCUUAUCAAUAAACCAUUAUAAGUUGUCUUUGACCUGGGCUCCAACUAUAUUCCGGUGUCUCUUUUGGAUCGAGAAACUCUCAGAUAAUGACUGGGAGAGAAAGCUUCUGAGGUUACAGAGGGAUACCUAGCAAACCUAUGAAUUCGCUGGAUAGCACAUCAUUGAGCAAAGAGGGACCAGGUGUAUAACAUAUGAGUGGUAAGGCAAUCUUCCCAUGGCUGGGCAUGAUUUUUUUUUUCCUAGUUCUGUUUGUCAGUCUGCCUCUCUUUCCACCCACUCCCGGAGCCCACCUGCCUGUCCAUCUGUCCAUCUAUCCAUCCAUU